UACGUAGGGUGCGUGCGUUGUCCGGAAUUACUGGGCGUAAAGAGCUCGUAGGUGGUUUGUCGCGUUGUCCGUGAAAACUCACAACUCAAUUGUGGGCGUGCGGGCGAUACGGGCAGACUGGAGUACUGCAGGGGAGACUGGAAUUCCUGGUGUAGCGGUGGAAUGCGCAGAUAUCAGGAGGAACACCGGUGGCGAAGGCGGGUCUCUGGGCAGUAACUGACGCUGAGGAGCGAAAGCGUGGGGAGCGAACAGG
rnacentral:rRNA from 1 species